CUUUUGCUGGCGACCGGCGCACGGGUGAGUAACACGUAUCCAACCUGCCGAUAACUCGGGGAUAGCCUUUCGAAAGAAAGAUUAAUACCCGAUGGCAUAAUUAGACCGCAUGGUUUGAUUAUUAAAGAAUUUCGGUUAUCGAUGGGGAUGCGUUCCAUUAGGCAGUUGGUGAGGUAACGGCUCACCAAACCUUCGAUGGAUAGGGGUUCUGAGAGGAAGGUCCCCCACAUUGGAACUGAGACACGGUCCAA
rnacentral:rRNA from 1 species